rnacentral:rRNA from 1 species
AACGAACGCUGGCGGCAGGCCUAACACAUGCAAGUCGAGCGCCCCGCAAGGGGAGCGGCGGACGGGUGAGUAACGCGUGGGAACGUACCCUUUGCUACGGAAUAGCCUCGGGAAACUGGGAGUAAUACCGUAUGUGUCCUUCGGGAGGAAGAUUUAUCGGCAAGGGAUCGGCCCGCGUUGGAUUAGGUAGUUGGUGGGGUAAUGGCCUACCAAGCCGACGAUCCAUAGCUGGUUUGAGAGGAUGAUCAGCCACACUGGGACUGAGACACGGCCCAGACUCCUACGGGAGGCAGCAGUGGGGAAUCUUAGACAAUGGGCGCAAGCCUGAUCUAGCCAUGCCGCGUGAGCGAUGAAGGCCUUAGGGUUGUAAAGCUCUUUCAGGGGGGAAGAUAAUGACUGUACCCCCAGAAGAAGCCCCGGCUAACUCCGUG